rnacentral:rRNA from 1 species
GAAUUUUGGACAAUGGGGGAAACCCUGAUCCAGCGACGCCGCGUGGGUGAUGAAGGCCUUCGGGUCGUAAAGCCCUGUCUGGGGGGAAGAAUACUCUGCGGGGAAAUACUCCGUGGAGUUUACGGUACCCCAGAAGGAAGCACCGGCUAACGCCGUGCCAGCAGCCGCGGUAAGACGGAGGGUGCAAGCGUUGUUCGGAAUUACUGGGCGUAAAGGGCGCGUAGGCGGCCUGUUAAGUGCGGUGUGAAAGCCCCCGGCUCACCCGGGGAACUGCGCCGUAUACUGGCAGACUAGAGUACCGGAGAGGAGGGUGGAAUUCCUGGUGUAGCGGUGAAAUGCGUAGAUAUCAGGAGGAACACCGGUGGCGAAGGCGGCCCUCUGGACGGAUACUGACGCUGAGGCGCGAAAGCGUGGGGAUCAAACAGG